rnacentral:rRNA from 1 species
AUUGAACGCUAGCGGCAUGCCUUACACAUGCAAGUCGAACGGUAGAGGAGCAAUCCUCGAGAGUGGCGAACGGGUGAGUAAUGCAUCGGAACGUGCCCAGUAAUGGGGGAUAGCCCGGCGAAAGCCGGAUUAAUACCGCAUACGACCUAAGGGUGAAAGAGGGGGAUCGCAAGACCUCUCGUUAUUGGAGCGGCCGAUGUCAGAUUAGGUAGUUGGUGGGGUAAAGGCCUACCAAGCCAACGAUCUGUAGCUGGUCUGAGAGGACGACCAGCCACGCUGGGACUGGGACACGGCCCAGACUCCUACGGGAGGCAGCAGUGGGGAAUUUUGGACAAUGGGCGCAAGCCUGAUCCAGCCAUGCCGCGUGCGGGAAGAAGGCCUUCGGGUUGUAAACCGCUUUUGUCAGGGAAGAAAUCUUCUGGGUUAAUACCUCGGGGGGAUGACGGUACCUGAAGAAUAAGCACCGGCUAACUACGUGCCAGCCGCCGCAGUAAAAC